AAGUGAGGGGUCCAUUGUUAUCGGUCUUAAAAAGUGGUAGGUCUUGUCCCACCCACUUACAAUGAUUCUGAUGCCCAUGCAUUAAAAUACAACCCCACUAGCACAGUGUUCUCUUUCACAUUUGUACUUACAUUAUCCCAUGUUUCAACAAUGUUUGAAUCCAGAGAUUUUUUUUGUUUAUAGGGUCACUUGUCAAUGGCAUCCAUAUUCUACAGUAUAUUAUUACUUUUUGAAUCCGCUGCCAUAGAAACCAUGAAACCAUUGGUGUGUUUGACUUCAUGUGGCACUUUGCAGACCGAUAGGGACAUAAAAAUAUCAGGAAAAUGGCACUAAAAGGUUUUAAAACUUUAUUUACGUCAUCUAUGAACAUGAUUUGUGAGUCCUCUCAGAUCGAUUCCUUAUGCAUUCUCUGAGAACUGAACCUCGCCAAUCUCUACCACUAACAGGAUCACUAUACAAUAAAAACAAUGUCAUAUAGUACUUUGGCACUGCAGUGUAGUGAUUUAUUUUUAUUCUCUCGUAUUACUUUGACAUUUAUUUAUGUUUCUCUUUCAUGUGCAUGUUGUGUGAUUUUUAGAUUAUCAAUCGCCUUUAAAUAGAUAUAUCCUGAUCAUCUUAACACUGAUUCUUAUCCUGUAUGCUCUGACUGUUGGAUUUGGACUUUACAAAAUUAGACAAUUGAGCAACAAGCUGAAGGUUCACAAUGAUGCAGGCACAUAUGCUUCUCUUCAGCUCUCUGCUCCGGUGUCUGAAUAUGAGACUUUGAAUAUUAAGAAAGAUGACACACAGUAAACAACAAAUUAACAUUUGAAGUGAAAAUCUGUGACGUUCACAUCUUUGGAAAUACCAGCACUCCUAACAUGCUUAAAGAGACCACAUCUAAACAUGGCAUCGUGAUCUCAUGAGAAUAUGUGUGGACUUUUAAAUAAACACACAUGCAUUUACUUAUGUUUUCAUACACACUGAAACGUAUAAUAUCGACAUGUUGACAGGACUAAUAUGUUAAUUACUUAUGUAUGUACAGACAUACUGAUUUGUACAUAUUCCUAUUCAUAAUUAUUAAAAUAGCGGGCAUUGGCAUUUCUUAAUCAUAUUAAUGACCAGUGGCGGCUGGUCAAUAGGGCAAAAGUUGGCAAGAGAGGAAAGCUACUUUAACAUGUUACCAAAAAGUUAAAUAUAUACUGCAAAUUAAUACAAAAUAAAAAUAUUUAGUUGUACUAUUUCACUGUUAGGGUGUUAUCAUUUAUUAAAAAAAAUCAAAAAUAGGUUUGUUGUGUGUGUGUCAUGUUUGUGUGUCUGGGGCCCACAUUAUUGUCUAUGUAGGUCAGUAAAUGUGGUAAAAGCAUGUGACUUGAAUCUGAGCUCUAAGGGUGCGUUCACACGACAAAAUUUCGGGAGUGACAACCGUAUUUACUUACAGGUGUGAGUCUGGAAGUGUCCUGUUCAGACAGCAAAUUAAAGACACAAAUAGAACACUGCCUGUAUGAACGAGCAACCGACCUCAAACACGUAUUCUAGUUACACGCGGUGCCUGUACCCAUAGUGACGGACGAAUAUAUUAAAAAAAGUAUUAUUUAUGCAAUGGGCAAACUUUAUUUAUGUAAUUAACAAAAACA